GGCUUUUCCCCUCUGCAGCCUUUUGUUUCCCUCUUUCUUCCUCUCCUGUCCUGACUGUGCAGAUCCUGGUUUUGGCCAGGUGAUUCAACUUCCCAAGCCCUUAUGUUUAUCAGACACCCCCCCAAAAGCCAGUUCAAUUCACUAACCCUGCAGAAAAGAAAAAAAUACAGCCACACUUUUUUUUUUGCCAUUAGUUGCCUACUGAUGAGCAGACUCCUGAAGGAAGCCCAAGCCCGUGCAAGACAAGCAGCAGGAAGAAGAGGCAGUGGAGAGAGGGAAGGGCUGGACUCUACCCCAAGUGGGGAGCCAGAGCUACUUUUAUCUUCACUGCAGCUGAUAAUUAUACCAGAAGAUGAAUCAGUUAAUUCUAUGUCAUUUUACCACUAUUCCGAUUGCUUUUACAUUGCACUUUUAAGACUCUUAAUGCAGACAGACUGGAACAUGGGAAAAAGAAGGGACAGUGCUUACUGCAAAUACUGAUGAAAGGACACCAUCAGAGUGUGAACAAACUGCCAAUUAAUUCCCCUGCAUAAAAGCAAGCAGGAUUGAACCUGUGAGGAAUUGGAAAGCUGUGCCUUAGAAGGCACUGUUCUGGGGAGAAGAAACAGGAUCAAAAGUUGCUAUGUCAACAUAACAUCACUGACCUGCCAGAGAAACAGAGCAUGCUGCAUACUCAUGCCUGGGGAAAAUACCUCGUCCCUACCUCCAUUAAAGGUUGUAAUAUGUCAAGUAGAAGAAUUAAUGUAGAAAAUCAGGUUUGUACUGUUCACAGAGCAAGACAGAAAAAGCCAAGUGUUUCAAUAAGAAAUCCAAAUCACAGCGAUCUGACCAGUUUGGGUGGUUAAAAUCUGAAGGAGGAAGAAGAGGAGACAAAAGCCCAGUCAGUCUGCAAAUAGCUAGAUUCAUUCAGAAUCUCUUCAUACUUAUCUUUUCCAUAUCACACAGUAUCAUAUUUUGUCUGUGCUUUGUAGGCAUAUGGUUUUCCAGACAUACAAUAAAGUCUUAUCACAAAGU
rnacentral:lncRNA from 1 species